AUGCUGUCGCCAGGCUGCAGCCGCCUGAGGGGACUCGUCCGGGGCCCCGCCCUCAGAGCUCACACCCGCCGUGCGCUCUCGCCCCGGGGCCGCCCCGCCGACCUCCCGCGCGGCUCUGCGCGCACAGGCCGGACGCUCGGAGCCGGCGCCGGGCCGCCCUGCUCGGCCUCCUGGGCGCAGCGGCGCCUCUGGACCGAGCACGCGCACCAGCGGCCUCCGCUCAGGCUCCGUGCCCGCGCACGCGCCCUCGCGUCGCGCUCCUGGCUGAGAGACCUGCGCUCGGGCUGGGCUCCGGGCGGUUCUCGCGUUGUCGUUCCACCGGGACUUCCGCGCUUCGGUGGCCUUUCGGACGAGCCGCCGCGCCCAGAGAUGUUCAGGUUGGAGCGACACUUCCCAGACGGCAGCGGUCACGCCAGCUCUUUGGCUUCCAUUCCGUUUUCGCGCGGUUCUCCCUCUUCGCAAGUGAUGUCAUUCUGA
rnacentral:lncRNA from 1 species